ensembl:rRNA 5S_rRNA 5S ribosomal RNA
GACUGUGGCCACACCACCCUGAAUGCACCCAAUCUCAUCUGAUAUUCGAAGCUAAUAAUCAACAGGAACAGUCAGUAUUUGAUUGGGAAACCUUGUAUCCAACUUCUUAAGUUGAUUCC